rnacentral:rRNA from 1 species
UACGAACUGUGCGAACGUUAUUCGGAAUCACUGGGCUUACAGGGCGCGUAGGCGGCUUGUUAAGUAGGGUGUGAAAGCCCCCGGCUCAACCGGGGAAUGGCGCCCUAAACUGGCGAGCUAGAGUGAGAUAGGGGUGUGUGGAACUUCCGGUGGAGCGGUGAAAUGUGUUGAUAUCGGAAGGAACGCCGGUGGCGAAAGCGACACACUGGAUCUUGUCUGACGCUGAGGCACGAAAGCCAGGGGAGCGAACGGG